GUCUCGUUGGUGUAGUGGUAGCAUGCCUUCUUCGGGUAUAUCAUCUGAUUUGUACGCUUUGGAGGCGGUCCCCGGUUCAAUCCCGGGACGGGACC